rnacentral:tRNA from 1 species
UCCCUGGUGGUCCAAUGGUUAGGACACCUGGCUUCUAUUGCAGGGAGUACAGAUUCAAUCCCUGGUCAGGGAA